rnacentral:rRNA from 1 species
UACGUAGGGGGGCAAGCGUUGUCCGGAUUUACUGGGCGUAAAGAGCGUGUAGGCGGCCAGGCAGGUCUGUUGUGAAAACUGGAGGCUCAACUUCCAGACGUCGACAGAAACCGCUUGGCUAGAGUCCGGAAGAGGAGAGUGGAAUUCCUGGUGUAGCGGUGAAAUGCGCAGAUAUCAGGAAGAACACCGAUGGCGAAGGCAGCUCUCUGGGACGGUACUGACGCUGAGGAGCGAAAGCGUGGGGAGCGAACAGG